GGUAGUAACUUCAGGAAGCUGGGGCUAAUACCGGAUAGGAGCUCCUGCUGCAUGGUGGGGGUUGGAAAGUUUCGGCGGUUGGGGAUGGACUCGCGGCUUAUCAGCUUGUUGGUGGGGUAGUGGCUUACCAAGGCUUUGACGGGUAGCCGGCCUGAGAGGGUGACCGGCCACAUUGGGACUGAGAUACGGCCCAG
rnacentral:rRNA from 1 species